AACGAACGCUGGCGGCAUGCCUAACACAUGCAAGUCGAACGAUGCUUUCGGGCAUAGUGGCGCACGGGUGCGUAACGCGUGGGAAUCUGCCCCUUGGUUCGGAAUAACAGUUAGAAAUGACUGCUAAUACCGGAUGACGACGUAAGUCCAAAGAUUUAUCGCCGAGGGAUGAGCCCGCGUAGGAUUAGCUAGUUGGUGUGGUAAAGGCGCACCAAGGCGACGAUCCUUAGCUGGUCUGAGAGGAUGAUCAGCCACACUGGGACUGAGACACGGCCCAGACUCCUACGGGAGGCAGCAGUGGGGAAUAUUGGACAAUGGGCGCAAGCCUGAUCCAGCAAUGCCGCGUGAGUGAUGAAGGCCUUAGGGUUGUAAAGCUCUUUUACCCGUGAUGAUAAUGACAGUAGCGGGAGAAUAAGCCCCGGCUAACUCCGUGCCAGCAGCCGCGGUAAU
rnacentral:rRNA from 1 species